CUCUCUGUUCUCUUUCUCCUCAACAUAUUUCUCAACGUCCCUAGCCCAACAAACGCAGACCCAACAUAUUUCUCUCUAUUUCGACCCUUCCUUAUUCGAGGCACUUUGAGCUGUCCAUAGAGCUAGUAUAGUCACAAGACUCAUAACCCACCACCUGGUUUGACAUCAUUGUAGUUGUGGAGUCAAUCUCAUUUAAGGGAAUAAUGUUGAUGUUUAAGGACAAGAACCACUAACACAAGAUGCAGAUGCAAGUACCACAAAUAAGAGGCGAAAAACAUCAAAGGUGUGGGAUGACUUUCAUGAAGUGGACAUCCCCAAUGUUGGGCUUACAACAGUAUGCAACCAUUGUAAAAUUGCUUGCCGUCUACUAAAGAGUGGGAAAAGGUUGAUAAGGUAAAUCCAAAGGAUUUGAUGCUAAGAAGUGAUGAAGAAAUCACAACAAGGAGUUGCAGCUCAAUAUGAACCAAAGGAAGCCAAAAUAGUACAAGUCAAGGGCCAGAAGAUCACGCUCAAUCUCACAGAAUGGACGCUCGAGCGCGUCCAGACAUGAAAAGAAGCUAAAUUGAGCAAUUUAGGGCACUCAAGCGCCCAACAGCACGCUCAAGCGCCCAACUGGCCGUUCGAGCGCUAAAGGGCAGGAAAGAAUGAGAAUUUAACGCGUAGGAGCACGCUCAAGUGCCCUGUAGCGCGCUUGAGCGCCCAACACGAGCCCAAUCAGCCCAAUCUUCAUAAUCUUAGAGAAAAAGGAAACAAAUCAAGAUUUGAUUUGAGAAUUGAUAAGAUUUAUAGAGAGAUUGGAUGGAGAAUUAAAAGAUAUGGCUUCAAUGGUUAUAAAUAAGGAAGUUGAGGGUCAAUGAAAGACACCAAUUCACAGAAUUACACAGAGACCUGAAGGAGAAAUCCUGUUACGGAGCGUUGGAGCACCUAGGAAUCAAGUCGACAUCACACCAAUGGAGGCUUGGGGUUCUCUUUUCUUUAUUAUUGCUUUUGAAUUCAGUAUGCUAGGCUAAAGCUUUAUGUAGUUAGGGG